rnacentral:rRNA from 1 species
AUUGAACGCUGGCGGCAGGCUUAACACAUGCAAGUCGAACGAGUGGAGGACGGGUGAGUAAUGCAUGGGCAUCUAGCUUAUGGAGGGGGAUAACUAGGGGAAACUGUAGAUAAAACCGCGUACCAUAGGAUGAGCCCUAGUGGGAUUAGGUAGUUGGUGAGGUAAAGGCAGACCAAGCCGACGAUCUCUAGCUGGCCUGAGAGGAUGACCAGCCACACUGGGACUGAGACACGGCCCAGACUCCUACGGGAGGCAGCAGUGGGGAAUAUUGCGCAAUGGGUGCAAGCUGACACAGCCAUGCCGCGUGAAUGAAGAAGGCCUUCGGGUUGUAAAGUUCUUUCGGUAGCGAGGCGUUAUCUACAGAAGAAGCACCGGCUAACUCCGUGCCAGCAGCCGCGGUAAUAC